GUCCCCUCGUGACCCUCGAAUAACUGGACCUACUGGACGGGUCAAGUGGCGCCCGACGUGGAGCACGAGGUACAACCACCCUUCGGACAACGGAUUAAAGAGGUACCGCGCAGACAGUGAGACAGUGGGACAGUCCCCUGCCACUUCGCUCGAGUGUCGCGGAUGGACGUCGGGAGAAAAACUCUGGCAGCUUGGCUACACUAGGAAAAAAUGGGCAUCUUUCAAGGGAAGAAACAGCUCCAAGGAUGAAAGAUCCUAUGGAGACCACUACAUAGAAGCACACCAAUCAAAAUGAAAAGUUUAGAGUCUGGAAUCAAUGGAUCCAUUUCCAAAACAUCCCCAGGAUGAAGGCUCAGGGAAUACUGUGGAAGAUGGGAAGGAAGAAUGGUGAAAGCCAGAGGAGCAAGCUCUUAUGCUUUGAUUUUGUGCCUCCUAAGAAUCUCAGAAUCUCUACUCAUGAAGUCUGACAAAAAUAAUUGUGAGCUGCACAAGGACAAUAAUAAUGUAUAUUUCCAUGUGGCCUAAAAUCUACACAAAGAACUAUAUCCCAAAUCCAGCAAUAUACAACACAGUUGGCUAUACAGAUUUUAACAAAUGCACAGUAGCAUCAUUAUAGCCUCUUACAAAGUUGGUUUGCUACUCUAACAAUUGCCUUGGCAUUGCAUCCAUUACCAGGGUUGCUCAACAAGAUUACACUGCCAUUGGCCAGUAAAGAGUGCAGAGAUAAGCCACUCCUUAGAUGGUUUCAGGGUACAGCAUCGGUUUGAUUGUACAUGAGCAACUACUUAUUAUAGUGGAAGCCUAUUCAUGUCCUAUUGUGAGUGAAUAGCACAAUACCCUCUAUUGGAGAGUGAGUACUCAUACCACCAGGAACUCUUCAGGAAAAAAUACAGAAAAAAAAGGACACUUGAAAAAUGCCCACACAUCAGUAGGCCAGCUGCAGGCUAUUCACAUUACUUCAGAAUACGGACUUCUGAGAAUACUCAGGAACAUAGUGUGCCAUGCUUAUUCUGAGAAAUGCAGUGUGCAGGUAGGCUGACUGCCAGAUCGUGCCUGCAUUUUCUUCUAUCCCAGCUGUUCCAUCUAAGUAUCGUUUUCUUCCCACCACCUUGGCAAUCAGGAUGUGGAUGUUGUGGUUCAUGUCAUUUAGUUAUCCUUUUCCGAGAAUGUUAUGUAUUUGUAAUGAUACAGUUUUUCAGAAUAGUUUUGUUAACUUACAGAAAACUAUUUCAAUUCUUGCUUACCUUCUCAUAGAUUGAUUGCUUAUUUAUUUAGCAAUAAAUAUCAUGGUGUAGUCUGGA